AUGCGGCGGUGCCGGGGCGCAGGGCUGGCGGGGCUGGCCGCGGUGCUCCUGGUGGCUGCGGGCAGAGCCCAGGUGCAGCAGGAGCCGUCGGCAGAGACCACGGAGGGCACCGGCAUCAGCAUCAGCUGCUCACACCCCAACAUACAGACCAGCGAGUUCAUCUUCUGGUACCGUCAGCUCCCGGGCCGAGGCCCCGCAUUCCUCGUGAGCGGCACUAAAGGGUCCAAAGAGCUGCGGGACCCUGCGGGGCGGCUGUCGGUGGCGGCAGACCGCCGGUCCAGCGCCCUGUGGCUCGCCCGGCCCCGGCGCGGGGACGCGGCGGUGUAUUACUGCGUACACAACUGCAAACUGAAUCCUACAGCUCCAGCGUCCGCUUCCGGUGUGCACCUGCUGGUGUUGGAAAGUCAUCCUGUAGAGCUGGCAGUUCUACCUCAGCACCAGCACGAGAAGGAGAUACUGAUUGUCACAGACACCGUCAAGUGUGUCCCACAGUGGCUAGUGUUCGGGACAUAG